CUCUCAGCGGGGAUCUGGUGACUCCUGCGGCUUCCUGUUGUCCGCCCUCAUCCCUUUGGUCUUCCUGAUGUUACGGAAGUCAACAGCCCAGAUCAAGAGCGAGGUGUCAAGUCACAGGACUGCAGAACUGUUGGCAGUUAGCAUGAUGUGACUUCCUACAAAUCUGUCAGCAUGCACUGCCGAGGAGUCUUAGAGAGAGAGGCGACGCGACACGCUGGGUUGUGUUCAACUGGUUUAUCUGGUUUAAGCAGCAUAAUGGAGAAGUGUCUUCCCAGAGGCAAGGAAGGAGAGACUUGCACCGCAGCAGUGUUUGGGAAGAUUUAACUAAGUCAAACUCAGAGGGAAACAAAUGGAGGAAAAGUCUGAAGAUCGGGGGAAGGAGGGGGAAGAGGGCAAGCAGAAGUGGGAGAUGAAGAAGGGGUUGACCUCCCGCGGAUCUGGGGUCCCCAACACCCAGCUGUGGUCAUCACCUCACUCCGCAGGACACACACUCACACACACGCGCGCGCACACUCACCACCGUGAUUGUCACUCUGUGGGAGUCUGACCUGAGCCAGAUGGCCACCACUCUCCACUUUUUACGACUCUCCUUUUUUUCCUGUCAUGUUAUCUCACUAAACUAAAAUAUUUCACACCUGCGAAAGAACCAAGAUUUCAGAAUACAGUUUUCUGGGGUGGAUCCAUUUCACGACGACACUAGUCUUUCAUUGCAGUGUGAACGAGGUGAACAAUACUAAAUCAAUGAUCUAUCAGUUAACAUGCUGCUUUUAUGGACGACUGUGAUUAACAGAGAGCAAAUAAAUCAAAUAUGUCAACCCUAUUGGCCAGCAGAAUGUGGUGACUGAUAGGGUUUUUCCUCUAAAGCCGUUGCCAACUUACUUAUGUUGCAUUGCUCUAGAGGAGGGGUGUCAAACAUACAGCCCGCGGGCCGUUUCCGGCCCGCCGAACAAUUUAGUCCGGCCCGGUGG